GACGAACGCUGGCGGCGUGCUUAACACAUGCAAGUCGAACGGAGUGGCGAACGGGUGAGUAACACGUUGGUGACCUGCCCUGCACUUCGGGCUAAGCCUGGGAAACUGGGUCUAAUACCGGAUAGUGUGGGAUGGGCCCGCGGCCUAUCAGCUUGUUGGUGGGGUAAUGGCCUACCAAGGCGGCGACGGGUAGCCGGCCUGUGAGGGUGGACGGCCACAAUGGGACUGAAACACAGCCCAGAAUCAUACGGGGGGCAGCAGGGGGGAAUAUUGCACGAUGGGCGGAAGCCUGAUGCAGCGACGCCGCGUGGGGGAGGACGGCCAUCGGGUUGUAAACUCCUUGCGCCAUCGACGCGGUAGAUGGAGAAGAAGCACCGGCUAACUACGUGCCAGCAGCCGCGGUAAUUC
rnacentral:rRNA from 1 species